rnacentral:tRNA from 1 species
UGGGCUAUAGCCAAGCGGUAAGGCACCGGAUUUUGAUUCCGUGAUUCGCAGGUUCGAAUCCUGCUAGCCCAGCCA